AUGGUCUCGAUGACCGGAAGGGAUUCCUUCCGGGGUCUCGAUGACCGGAAGGGAUUCCUUCCGGUCAUCAAAAUUCGAAUCUUCUCGAUGACCGGAAGGGAUUCCUUCCGGUCAUCGAGACCAUUGAUGACAGGAAGGAAUCCCUUCCGGCCAUUGAGAUUGU
rnacentral:miRNA from 1 species